rnacentral:ncRNA from 1 species
CCCGUGAAGGGAUGUUCGAAGGAAGCCCGAGCGCAAAAGUGCGAGCCGACGGACAGAAAUCGCAUAGAAGGCCCAGUCCCCGGGCGAGUCGGCACAAGAUGGCGAAGCCCAACCGGUGCGGGGGGGCAGGGUGAAUGU